AUAGAUAACGAAAUGGGUAAGAGGAUUUGAAUAAUACACACUUUCGUGAGAACUUUUUAAUGCUACGCAUUUUUCAAGAGGGGACAAGGUCGAUAACGUAUGGUGAAGAUUGGCUAACGAUCGCAUAAAGGCCUCCCGAUGAAAGAACGGCUUAAAGGACACAUCGGCCAACUGGUGCCAUCGUUGUUUUUCCGCAAAGUCGAGCACAUCAUUGGUGCGCGUGUGCAGCCUGCGUCCAUGAUUGUUGUUCCGAUAAUUCACGUAACGACUGUAUUGAAUUGUUGACUGAAGGUACAUCUUUACGUUUCGGGAGAGCUAAGAUUCCGGAUGUCAUAAACCAGGAUGUCGUUAGCUGGGACUUUGACACGUUUGCUUGCGUCUCCAUUAGCCAGGUUGGUGACUCCUCCGA